GGGGGUGUAAAGGCUUCGACUUAAAGCAGGCGGUAUUAGGCUGCAUGCAGGCGGGUAAACCGGCCUUAACAGGUUUACAAAAAUAUAAACGCAAAUACACCAUUUGCAAACAGUUAUACCAACUUUGUUGGUAUACCUGCAUUUGCCCUUAAUUGAGGCAAAGCUCUUAAUAAAGCAGGCCUCAGGCUUAUUAAGGGUUCGGUUAUGAGGCUUACCUUAAACAGGCGUCUCUUGGGUUUAAGGGACACCAAAGAGAGACUGCCUCAUAAGUAGCCUGUCCUAUUGGCGCCUUAUGAGAAAGAUAAAAAUAGGAAUAAGCAUGUAGGAGCUUGUAUCAAAUCUUUAGGGACGCGGGUUCGAUUCCCGCCACCUCCACCA
rnacentral:tmRNA from 1 species